UUGUUGAGUCGGUCAUUAACAAAACACGUAUCAUCAUCAUGAGUAGUGUGGAUCCGUUUAUAAAUAUAGACUCGGGACCUCUGCUCUCUCAAUCUCAAUCACCACCAAACACAGAGAAGAACAAAAAAAACAAAGAGGCACGAAUGAGAGAAAGAUGUAGUUUUACCGUUUCUCUGCUUCGGUGAUAGGAAGAUGAUGAAUUGAUGAUGAUGCUUUGAUUCUUAUUUGGAUUUAGUUAUGUCGGAUCAUAAGACGGUGAGUGAUAGGAUGAUUCUUAUUCAACAAAGACGUAAUCCAAGAGGAAGAAGAAGGCAUCAUAUAGGUUCCGGUUCAAGAGAAUGAGAUUUCUCCGGUGACGUCAUAGAAUCUUUCGUAACUGUUUGACGAAUCCAAAACGAUCGUUUACAAGUCUAGCAGAGAGAUCAUCACGUAUUGACCGAAGAGAGAUCGGUGACACUCGACGACAGACAGACAGAGGAAGUGGAUGGAUCGAUCGGAGGAGAGGAGCAAGAGUAGCUUUUUGGACUGGAUUCUCAACUUCAAGCCCAUUAAGCAAUAGGUUUUCCAGCACGCCAAAAUACUCACAAGCCCAUUAAGAAUUAAGUGUACCUAAUAUAGGACUCAGUUUCACUACUUGGAACAACUGAGACAAUCAAACCAUCAUAAGGCCCACAACAUAGGCAAAACCAAUGAAUUCACUAAAAAUAAAGUACCAUAAAACACCAAACUCGCUUUUAUGCUAUUUUGCGAUUAUCAAUCAUAUCUAUGGCUGCUGCAUAUAAUUCUUAUGAUUUUUGAAAAAUCAAAACACUAAGCAGUUUGCACAAAUUGCACCACCAACAACACUGCUAAUCUUUUAGAAACCUCUAUAGUUUAUCCAAUGCUUAUAAUUAAUUAUGUACCAAGGCAAAAUAAGAAUGAUGUACAUACAAACAACACAACAUCCAUUAGCCUCUACUAAGAACUCUUUUUCCCCUUAA